rnacentral:lncRNA from 1 species
CUCUUCCCUAGUUCUCCGACGCAACAAAGGGGUGGUGGUUCUACACGGAAUUGAAUAUUCGAAUUUCUCAGACGGAGGCUUUCCUCGUCAACAAAGCUUCGGUAUGCUUCUCACUUUCUGCAGUUUUGAUUUGUUCUCCUAUGCAAGCCCAUGGAAAUUGCAAUUAAAAAUUAGGUUUAAGCAUGAUUUUAUCUUGAUGCGAUUUUUUUUGUUUAAAUUUCUCACGUUUUACAACAUUCUGAAAGCACCAGUUAUGCAAUAAAUAUGACAAAGAAUUAGUCCCGUUCUUGAAAUUGGCAUUGCCAGAUAAAACUCCGAUUUCCAAAGACUGCAAAGUACUAUAAAAUUAAGUAUAAAUUCAAUUAAUUCUUAUACCGGUUGAAGUAGAACUUUUGCUGAAAAUUUUUUCGUUUCCCAAUUUUUGAAAUGAACCAGAAGGGAUGAAAAUUUUCAAAACUAAAAACCGAAAUUCAGAAGUUAUUCUUUUAAUCACCGUCUUCAGACAAGGACCUUUAUUAAAGACAUGCAAGUUGAUGUAUAGUUUAAAACAUUUCUUGGUAAGAUAUGGUGGGUUUGUACAUUAGCAAAUCACUAUUUUCUGUAAUCCUAAAGUACCACCGUUCAUUGCAGCCCCACCUCCAUCUAUACAUAACUGCUUGCUAGGUGUUCAAUGCAGUGCCAGAACUAAAGUUUUACAGGAAAAAUUGCCAUGGACGAACCUUGUUCCGUAAAUAGCCCUCGUAGGGUCUUGAGUUUCUCCAAGAAUCGGAGGGCAAACGUGUCAUUUCCCGAUCCCAACAACAGGGCUUCAUCUUCAUCGGGCUUUGGAGUUUCCGGGGACCAUGGUCCAAAGCCCUCUGAAGUUUA